AUGGAGGCGACGGCGCCUAGCGUGGGCGCCGGCGCCAAUGGUUCCCUGGCGGCGGCGGCGAGGGCGCAGGUGGGGCCGCCCACGAACCCCAUGGCCACGGCGCUGCUCACCGAUCAGUACCAGUUUUCCAUGGCCUACGCCUACUGGAAGGCCGGCAAGCACGCAGACCAUGCCGUGUUUGACCUGUACUUCAGGAAAAAUCCAUUUGGUGGAGAGUUUACUGUUUUUGCUGGUCUUGAAGAAUGUAUUAAGUUCAUUGCAAACUUUAAGUUCACGGAAGAUGAGAUUUCUUUCCUGCAGUCAGUAAUGCCAAUGUGUGAGGAUGCAUUCUUUGAUUAUCUCCGGGGAAUUGAUUGCUCUGAUGUGGAAGUGUACUCCAUUCCUGAGGGCUCAGUAGUCUUUCCAAAAGUGCCCUUGAUGAGAGUUGAGGGUCCAGUUGCUGUGGUUCAACUACUUGAGACUCCAUUUGUAAAUCUCAUCAAUUAUGCCUCUUUGGUAACCACGAAUGCUGCGCGGCACCGUCAUGUUGCUGGAAAGUCAAAGGUUCUAAUGGAAUUUGGUUUAAGACGAGCGCAGGGGCCUGAUGGCGCAAUAAGUGCUUCAAAGUAUUGUUUUAUGGGAGGCUUUGAUGCAACCAGUAAUGUAUUGGCAGGACAUCUAUUUGGCAUACCACUCCGUGGAACACAUUCUCAUGCUUAUGUCAGCUCAUAUAUGAGCCUUGAUGAGAUCCCAGACAGGACCCUAAGGAACAAAGAUGGUUCAAAAAUCUGCAAGGAUUUUGUUAGUUUAGUGAAAGAGUGGCUUUGCAAGAUUCAGGCAGCAGAUUCAUUACGUAAUGUAUUUGGCGAUACAAAUCAAAGUGAGCUGGCUGCAUUUGCAUCAUAUGCGUUGGCUUUUCCAAGCAGCUUUCUAGCACUGGUGGACACAUAUGAUGUUAUGCGAAGUGGGAUUCCAAAUUUCUGUGCGGUAGCUCUAGCACUCCAUGACUUAGGGUACAAGGCAUCUGGUAUCAGAUUAGACUCUGGUGAUCUAGCCUAUCUGUCUAUUGAAACUCGAAAAGUUUUUCAUGCAAUAGAAAAGGAAUUCAAUAUACCUGGUUUCGGGAAGAUGGUCAUUACUGCUAGUAAUGACCUGAAUGAGGAAACAAUUGAUGCUCUGAACAAGCAGGGUCAUGAAGUUGAUGCCUUUGGAAUCGGAACUUAUCUUGUAACGUGUUAUUCCCAAGCUGCUCUUGGAUGUGUCUUUAAGCUAGUUGAGAUCAAUAGUAGACCUCGUAUCAAACUUUCCGAGGAUGUGGCAAAAGUCUCUAUUCCAUGCAAAAAGCGGUGUUUCAGAUUGUAUGGAAAAGAAGGCUAUCCGUUGGUAGACAUCAUGAUACGUGAAAGUGAACCAUCACCAAAGGCAGGAGAGCGAAUUCUUUGCCGCCACCCGUUCCUUGAAUCCAAGAGGGCUUAUGUUGUCCCCCAGCAUGUUGAGGAGCUGCUACAUUGCUACUGGCCUGGGAGUUCAGAUAAACCUAGAGCAGAGCUGCCCCCGCUGCUGAAGAUCAGAAGCCGCUGUAUGCAACAGCUCGAAAAACUUCGACCGGAUCACAUCAGACGGCUAAAUCCGACACCUUACAAGGUGAGUGUGAGUGCAAAGCUGUACGAGUUCAUCCAUUACCUAUGGCUGAACGAGGCGCCAGUAGGCGAAUUACAGUAG
rnacentral:rRNA from 1 species